UUACGGCCACAUCAAGUUGGAACACCGGUCUCGUACGAUAACCGAAGUUGAGCAAUGUUGAUCCUGAUCAGUACCUAUAUGGGUGACCACUUAGGAAUACCAGGUGCUGUAA